rnacentral:tRNA from 1 species
AUCUAAAUAGCUUAUAAUAAGAGCACAGCACUGAAGAUGCUGAGGAAAUAUUUUUAUUUUUAGAUA